GUAGUUCAGAGGAGCACUUCAAAGCAACCCUUAACAAACCAUAGUGCCCAUAAUUCAUUGAGGGAAACAGUAUGCUCUGAAUGCCAUUUAAAGGUCUAGUGCAAAUCACCCCCAACUUGUUUUGCAGUGGAUAAGAAGCUAGUAUGGACUUUGUAAUGUACACUGAGUUUAAUGUGUGUCAUUUGAGUCCUUUGUUUCACAUAAGCGCACAUGGAAAAGUAUUCAUUGUUCUAGUUGCCAUGAGGAACUCGGUCGUCACGCAGGAGACCCAGCAGCCUGUAUGUUGCUGCCCUUCAUCACAGCCUAUCCAGGUUUGUCUUGAUAAGGAAAAAUCCCGAGAUGUGGAUUUACUCCGCUGCCCAGCUUGACACCCCACGGGUCUCUCAGGUCAGCAAAAGAAAGAGACUCCAGCCAAGUUAAAGAAGCAAACAGCAGUCUGUAGACCUGAUCUUUAUUUGUUGUGUUGUAAACAAAAAUUGCAUAAAGAAGGCUGAUCUCCGAAGAAUUGAUGCUUUUGAAUUAUGGUGCUGGAGGAGACUCUUGAGAGUCCCAUGGACUGCAAGAAGAUCAAACGCAUCCGUUCUUAAGGAAAUUAGCCCUGAGUGCUCACUGGAAGGACUGAUCCUGAAGCUGAGGCUCCAAUACUUUGGCCACCUCAUGAGAAGAGAAGACUCCCUGGGAAAGACCCUGAUGUUGGGAAAGAUGGAGGGCACAAGGAGAAGGGGACGACAGAGGACGAGAUGGUUGGACAGUGUUCUUGAAGCUACAAACAUGAGUCUGACCAAACUGCGGGAGGCAGUGGAAGACAGGAGUGCCUGGCGUGCUCUGAUCCAUGGGGUCACGAAGAGUCAGACACGACUAAACGACUAAACAACAACAACAAACAAAAAUUGCCCUUUCCCUUAUGAGGUAUCCAAGAGCCCAUAUAGAGUCCUUACAUAGGUUCCCUAUUGGUAGGAGAGAAUAACAGAGGCCAACCAGAGAAUAUUGCGAAGCAAAGCAGCUAGUAAACUUGAUCUUUAUUGAUCUGUUGCAACAGGGUGCUCCCCUCACCCGCAGGACAGAGGAGGAACCCAGAAAAAUGGCGCGCAAGGCCUUAUAAAGACCUUGAAAUUGCCACCCUGUAGAUCAAGACCAACCCCAGAAACAUCAUACAUACAUCACAGAAGGGGUGUAACCUAAGACCACCCCUCAGAUACAUCAUACCUACAUCACAGAAAAGGCGGUCUAAACAGAAAUUUGAAUGUUGUUUUCUCCUGUCCUUGUUUAUCUCCUGUCUGGCAGGUUACUUGAUUGAAUUGCCUGGGGAGCCUGGCUAGUCUUUUGUAAUGAUAAAUACUUAUCAUAGUUCCUGGGCCAGGUCACAGGCUCACACCCUAUUCAUAUCUUAAAUGUGCCCUUAAGACAGGAUUUGUGAGGAAAGAGACAAUGGGGAGGUUUCCCACUUUGACCUUGCAGAGAAAACAUUUGCUCAGUUUAGGAAUCAAAAUGGUUCCCGGUCGGUCUUCCUGUGCUGAUCUAUGUACAUGCUUGGUUGGUACACUUAUGAACAUUACCAUAUAUCUAAGACCAUAAAAUCCCUAUCACAGUUGCAACAAGGUUCAAAUACACAAAGAGUGGGAACCUCUGAGCAUGGGGUUGCGUGAACCUUUAAUACAUUUAAUACAUUUUUCAACACCAUCAUCAAUACAUCACAGAUAUGUCACAAAGCAGGAGUGCUUGCCAUGUAGAAACAUGAGCCCAUCGCCCACCCCUGUCAAUAACCCUACUGACACCUUUUAACACAUCCCCCUAGCUGCAAGGCUUUCCUGCGCUUCUCCUCUGAAAGUAUCAGGAUUCAAUCCACCAUCCAGAUGGAUUUUGCCUGAGGUAUGUGCUGCCCCUGAUCGCCUCCUGCCUCCUAUUGUGAGGCUAAGUUCACACCUUGUGGAGGGGCAAGGAGUAUGUGGCCGCUUAAGGGAUUAUGGAGGCAGGGGGAGCCCUUCCAGAGGAGUCAUUACCCAUUGGAACCAAGGAAAUUGGUCAAACCGUUGAAUUUUGGUGAUUAUUUGAUUCUAUAUUGGAUAGUCAGAGGAAAAAGUACGAUGUAGGAUAUCCACUUAUUGCUACAAUUUUAUAGACUGCUUUUCUGAGCCUCUUUGCUGUUGUGUAUGUAUGGUGCCUGGCCUUAGUUAGAGGCUGUGGUGGGGACUUGGGAUUUUGGGGAGUCAUUUAAGUGCCCCUCAUUCCUGGUUUUAAUAGUCUCCACCUGCCUGACACCUGACAUCAGAAACGACAUCAGGUGUGGGGGAAAACAGCCGUUUGGGCCAAACUGGGACCUUGUUGUUGUUGUUUAGUCGUUUAGUCGUGUCUGACUCUUCGUGACCCCAUGGAUCAGAGCACACCAGGCCCUCCUGUCUUCCACUGCCUCCUGCAGUUUGGUCAAACUCAUGCUGGUAGCUUUGAGGACACUAUCCAACCAUCUCGUCCUCUGUUGUCCCCUUCUCCUUGUGCCCUCCAUCUUUCCCAACAUCAGAGUCUUUUCCAGGGAGUCAUGAGGUGGCCAAAGUAUUGGAACCUCAGCUUCAGGAUUUGUCCUUCCAGUGAGCACUCAGGGCUGAUUUCCUUCAGAAUGGAAAGGUUUGAUCUUCUUGCAGUCCAUGGGACUUUCAAGAGUCUCCUCCAGCACCAUAAUUCAAAAGCAUCAAUUCUUUGGCGAUCAGCCUUCUUUAUGGUCCAGCUCUCACUUCCAUACAUCACUACUGGGAUACCAUAGCUUUAACUAUGUGGACCUUUGUUGGCAAGGUGAUGUCUCUGCUUUUGGCCCGUGAGCCAGAGCUUCCCCAACCCUGUUCUAGUAAUAUGGAUAUUUCUGACACUUCCAUGUAGGAUUCAUUGUAUGUGGUGAACAGGGCUGCCCCACCCAUGAGGCAAGAUGAGGUAACUGCCUCAGGCUGCAAGGUCCACUGCGGCAGCAGAUCCCAAUGUAGAUCCUUCUUCCCCUGCUUGUUCCCAACAUAGAUUUUCUUUCACCCCUUCUUACCUGGCAGGGAGGGGAAAGCCAUUUAGGGAUCUGCCUCAGGUGGCAAAAUGUCUUGGGCGGGCCCUGGCGGUGAAUGCUUUUACAGUCGUACCUUGGAAGCCGAACGCCUUGUGAGUCGAACGUUUUCGCUCCCGAACACCACAAACCCAGAAGUGAUUGUUCCGGUUUGUGAACGUUCAUUGGAAGCCAAACAUCUGAUGCGGCUUCCGAUUGGCUGCAGGAAUCUCCUGCAGCCAAUCGGAAGGCUCGCCUUGGUUGCCGAACGUUUUGGAAGUCAAACGCACUUCUGGAAUGGAUUCUGUUCGGCUUCCAAGGUAUGACUGUAUUUUUAAUUGUAGCGCUUUGCUUCUUUGUUGCUUGCCUCCCUGGGCCAUUUGGGGACGAAGAGUGAGAUAGUAACAUAACUGCUAGUAGUGAUAUUUGUGUCCAGAUUCCUUACUCAUCAUCCCUAGUUGAGCGGUAAACUCCAAAGAUGUCUCCCAUUUUGACGAUGUUGUUUCAAAGCUCCGCUGCUUUGGACAAGCCAUUUUGAGGGCCGCCUUAUGCUGCUGUGCAUUUGCUGCCCACUUCAGCCCACACAAUCUGGAACCAAAACAGCAGCAGCUAAACCCGCCAGCAAGUUCCUUUGAACGACGCCAUCAAGCUUGGGUUCGAUCUGACGCAUUGUCUGGCACGGCUAGAAACCGAAGCCAAACCGGUCAGCUUCACCUUAAAGUCCUUAAAGGUGAAUUUAUUAACAGAGUUGCUUACCUCCGUGGAAAGUGCUUUUCAGCAAAUUACCGAUCCCUAUGACGUACCGGUCUAUUUUAGCUUGGAACGUAAACCUAUUUUUAUUUCCAGAGACCUGAAUUCUGGCGAACAAGGUCCCAUUGUAGGCUGCCAAGCUCCAUUCAUUGGGAAAGGCCUAUUCCCCCCGUGUCGUUGUGCCAGGAUGCCAGGCUCUUUGAGACGAUUAAUAAAGGGGUCCAGUUGUAUUUUCCAAGAAGAACAGUUUAGACGGAGCUGGUGAAAUGACCACAGAAUUUUUAAAUAGAUCGCUCAAGCUCUCCACUCUCCAAUGACCUGGGAGAGCUUGGUGUUCCUCUUUAAAAAGCUAAAGCGUUAUUUUAACUCCAGAUUGAUUUAGCUCUCAUCUAGACUAGGUUUUGACAUAGUUGGGCUCCGGCUGAAAUCAUCAAGCGCUCAGAACAUGUGGUGGAUAUGCAAGAUAACAAAAGCAUUCCAGGAAAUGAUAUAUAAUGAGUUGAAAAAAAUGUUUAAAAUAACUUUUGUGGGGAAAAAAUCACCUUUUUUAGGAAUUUUAGAUGCAGAGAUACCAAAAGAGCAGAAACGAUUGUCUAUGUAUGCGACGACAGCAGCACAGAUACUAAUGGCCCGGAGACAAAUGACUGAUGAAGAUGAUGGACUACGCCGAAAUGGCAAAAACGACCGGGAAAAUCAGAAACCAGGAAGAUACUUUAAUAAGGAAUGGGAAAAAUUUACAAUUUACGUAAGAGAACACUGUAAACAACUAAAAACUUUGGCAGGAUUUGAGUAACGCUUUUAAUGCAUUAAAAACUAAGGAGGAAAUUGAUUAUUCUAAGAAAAUAGAGAAAAUAUAUGAUGCGGUAGAAAAAGUUUGAAAUGGAAACCAUAGAGGGAAGUCCAAGGAUUCGGGGAAUCCUGAAAGUUGAUUAUUAUGAUCAAUGUCUGAAUUUAAAUGUAUAGCGUAAAACUGAAUAAAAAAGAUUAUAUAUAUAUAUAUAUAUAUAUAUAUAUAUAUAUAUAUAUAAAACAACAUCCCAUACGUAAGCUCAGCCAUAUAGGAUGUGUUGCCAUGCGACUUCUCCUACGUAGAAGUAGAGAACCUGUGGAAUGCCAGAUGUUGUUGGAGUCAAUCUCCCACCAGGCUCAGUCUCCAUGGCCAAAGUUUGGGGUUAUGGCAGGAGCAACCCAGCAAUAGCUGGAGGGGGUGUCAAAUGACUCCCCCCCCUCACCUUUAACCUCUCAGAUUUGCUGACACUGAAUUGAAAAGGAAUGCUUUCUUCUGUAACCAGGACGACAAAGAAUGUGAGUCUUGUAUAUACAUACAAUAAGGGAUAGAGGUCGAACCUCCUUCAUGUUCUUGCAAUAUACCGUAUUUUUCCAUGUAUAAGACGCCCCCCAUGUAUAAGACACCUCCUAUUUUGGGGGACUCCAAAUUAAGAAAACACCCCUCAGCACUAUCCGUGUAUAAGACAAGCCCCAAUUUUAAACCUAAUUUUUUGGUUAAAAAACCCCUAGUCUUAUACACGGAAAAAUACAGUAAUCAAAUCUGAAUCCUGUGGCAGCAGCUAUUUACCCCCUAUUUACCCCCCCUUUCUAGUGAAUUAGCUCUUAUCUACGCAGUUACCCAGAAGUCAGUACUGCUGUUGUGUACAAGGCCCCUUUAAUUACAGAACAAAGUCACAGAUUGUGACCUAAGGCUAUGUUCACACCAUAAAGCACUACGAUGCCACUUGAAACCAUCAUGGCUCCCCCCAGAGAAUUCUGGGAGCUGUAGUUUGAGGGUGCUGGAAGGUGUUAGGAGACCUCACAGAGCUACAGUGGCCAGAGUCCUUUAACCAUCUAUCCCUCUUCACAAGGGACUCUGGGAGGGGAAUCGGGGUCUCCUAAGACUCUCAGCACCCUUAACAAACUCCAGUUCCCAGAAUUCUUUGGGGGAAGCCAUGAUGGUUUAAAGCAGCAUCGUAGUGUUUUGAAUGCAGAGUGUGACUGUGACCCAAGAUUGGUGCAGGCCGAUAGGUGUUGCUUGGCAUUGUGGUCAUGAAUAGGUUGUGAGGCAAGAAAUAGUCGUGAGAGAAAGUGAAGAGACAGAGGAAACUUGGGGGAACGGACUGUUAGAAUUCCUGCUCCCUGAUUGCAGUCAUGGGACUGUUGUCUAUCACAUGACGGUGUAUGUUUUGACUCCACAGAGUGGGAAGUGAUGGAGACAGGAUGCUUGUGUUACUGUGUUCCGUGAAGUGGGACUAUUGUCCUUUGUUCUUUUUGUCUUUGCUGUCUGAUGCUAGAGAGGGAGGGAGCCAUGUUGCAGUGUCUUCACAUGUAUAUAAAGUAGAUUAGCCAAAAUGCUGAGUUGCUGAGGUCUGUUAUGUGAACUGCGCAGACUCUGCGGAUCCCUAAGUGUGCCGAUGACUGUUGGCAUUGGUCGCUGUGAUGUUCGGGCUGAAGAAAGCUUAUGAAGCUCCCAAACGAUCGACCAGGAGAGAACAUGCCAGUCGGGCACGUGUCUCUGCCAGGGUCCUACUCGAGUGUAGGCCAGAGUUUGGCAGAUGAUGUUAGCGCCUAGCAUUCCAGGUCAGUGGACUCCCCAC
rnacentral:lncRNA from 1 species